rnacentral:misc_RNA from 1 species
CGUGCGUCUCACGUUUUUUUGCUUCGGUGCAUUUGUUGCGGAAAGUAGCGCCGUGCUAUAGACGAAGCACACUGUGGAAGGAAGCGCCUAUAUGCAUGUGUGUACAUAUAUAUACACGGCGCCUAAACCGGAAACGCCAACGAGGUCGAACCCAUCCAUCGCUGUCGCCACUACUGCUUUAUUCUACUCGUGCAUGCGUGUCUGCGGCAGAGCUGCGGAUGCGAAGGAGUAUUGCAGCUCGCACCGCCCCCUUCCCCACUCACUCGCUCGCAGAGGUGCGCACGCCUUGGUACCGUCCUCUUCCUGUAUUCUCUCCCUCCGCCUCGGACUCUCCGUCGUUGCAACUUCGUGUCCGGCAAGCUAAGAAAGACGAGUGCAGCCGCUCGGGGCGUUUGCGCUUCAAUCGUCAUCAUUGCGGUCGAAUACCGUGCCGCUAUGUUGAGCCAGCCAACGCGUCGCUGCCUGUUCACGGCGGUGUCCUCGGUGUCGAGCACCACUGCCGCCUCCUCUUCGGGCGGCGUGUCGCGCGAGCUGGAUGCGUCGGCGGUGAGGCGGUCGGCCUUUGCCCAGCCGGGGCUGGAGGGACUGCGCAUCGCUGCGUACGCGCCUACUGAGCCAGGCGUGCCGUCGUCGCAGCGCCGGCUUCCCGUGGCUAUUGGUCACGUCGUCGCGCAGCUGUCGUCCCUUGUGUUCGCAGUAGACUUCGAUGACAGACUACCACCGCCCGCCGUGUCGCUGGGAUCACGCGUCUACGUGGCCUACGAGCGGGAGGAUGUGGACCCGAUUUCGCAGCAGGGCGAUGGAGGCGUGGGUGGUGCACCGAGUCGCGUCUUCCUGGUGGGCGGCCUCGUCGUGCGAGUGAACCCUAAUGGCACCUUGGGUGUCCUGCUGGACCACAACAAGGUAGAUCUGGCGGUCCCGCCGGAAAAGAUAGCCGUGACGGAGGGCGUGUGCAAGUUCCUCAAUCAUCCCAAGUACCUGCGGGUCGUGGAGUGGGUGCGCUCCGCCGGUCUCUCGGAGACGGACGACGUGGAGAGCACCGCGUGCAUCCUGUACCACCGCGGCUGGCGGGCGGAGCGUCUGUACCUGCUCGAGGCUUCUGACAUCCGCAGCAUGACGCACCUGUCCCAGUCCGCCCGCAUGUCGCUCAUGGAGAAGGCAGAGUGGCAGCGCGAUCACCACCGUCAGAUGCGCAACAUUCACAGGGAGCGUGUGAAGGAGCGGGACCGACGGUACAUGUCGGCCAAGUACGCCGGCAUCCUCUCCGCCAGCGUCGCCUUCUGCGGUGCCUUUUCGCUCUUUGGGUGGAACUACAGGAACUACCUGACGCACCAGCGCUCCUACCAGAUGCGUUUCGCGGUGAAGACGCUCUGCAAGAAGGUGCCUCCGGGAAGCGCAGCCACCAUCGGCGCGCCGCCAGCAGCGACGGGUGUGGAGACAUCGAUGUCGUCGUCUGCGGCGCAUCGCAUGUCGAAGCACGUUAGUCGGGUGGUGCAGGAGCGCUGGAUUCGACAGGUGUUUCACCGACUCGAUACAGCGCACCCUCGUAUCGUGGUUAUCACCGGGUACUUUGGGUGCGGGAAGAGCUCGCUGUGCUGCACUGCCAUUCACGAUGAAGGCAUGGCCGGCGUCUUCGUGGAUGUGCGCAACAAGGAGGACACGCUGCGCAGCGUCAUCAAGGCACUUGGUGUGCCGCACGUCGAGGCCUGCGGCGACCCCCUCGACUUCAUCUCGGAAGCAUGUUACAAGGCCAAGUCCAUCACGAAUGGAAAGGCGCCCGUGAUUGUGCUGAAGCUGCGUGAGGGGAAUAGCCUGACGCGUGUGUACAACGAGGCGCUGACGCUGGCGUGCGAUCGCCGCGCGUGCCACAUCGUGGUUGAGCUGCCGCUCGAGUCGCUGACCACGACUAACACGUUGCUGCCGCGGUUGGAUUUUUACACGGUCCCCAACUUCAGCCGCUCGCAGGCGUACGAGUACAUUCAACAUCGCCUCGACGCUCUCGGCAUGGAGGUGUUUCUGGACACCGUGGGCACGAACAGCAACGACUUGGAUGAGCUGCUUGCUGCCGCUCAUCAGCACCGUGUAUCGGCGACAGAGUACACGAACCAGAAGCUUCUCAAGGCGAUGCGCCGGCUGCAGACGGCGUGGGGCGAUGACGCGCAGCUCAAGGCGGCCGUGAAGCGUCUGGCGCAGUUGCCAUACGAUGAAGGCCAACACGAGGGCCUUGACGACAGCAGUCUCAGCCACCCAUCGCUGCGCGAUGUGAUCUUCUACAAUUCUGUGCAGGAUGUUUGGCUCUUCAAGAACCAAGUGCUGCACACCGCCGCCUCCUGCUUGCUAUGAGGCGGCUCAACACGGCGCGGACGAGAAAGCGGCGGCAGGCAUCUCUGUGCACGUGCUCUGCGGGCCGUCGCUGACGUACUACUCCGGGGCAGGGGGGAGGGAAGUAAGCAGAGCCGUGCAAUGCAUGGCUCAUGGGUGCCCUCUCCGUGCACCGGCAUUACUCAGACCGCCUGGUGGGGCAGCAGGCAUCGAGCUAGUAGCUGGACGGUGCUGCUGCCGUCGCGCCCGACACUUUGGGGAUGGUCGAGGACGAGCGCAGCGUCAGCAGGCGAGAAAG